rnacentral:rRNA from 1 species
AGUGAACGCUGGCGGUAGGCCUAACACAUGCAAGUCGAACGGCAGCACAGGAGAGCUUGCUCUCUGGGUGGCGAGUGGCGGACGGGUGAGGAAUACAUCGGAAUCUACUCUGUCGUGGGGGAUAACGUAGGGAAAAUUACGCUAAUACAGCAUACGAUCUACGGGUGAAAGCAGGGGAUCUUCGGACCUUGCGCGACUGAUUGAGCAGAUGUCGGAUUUGCUAGUUGGCGGGGUAAAGGCCCACCAAGGCGACGAUCCGUAGAUGGUCUGAGAGGAUGAUCAGCACACUGGAACUGAGACACGGUCCAGACUCCUACGGGAGGCAGCAGUGGGGAAUAUUGGACAAUGGGCGCAAGCCUGAUCCAGCCAUACCGCGUGGGUGAAGAAGGCCUUCGGGUUGUAAAGCCCUUUUGUUGGGAAAGAAAUCCAGCUGGCUAAUACCCGGUUGGGAUGACGGUACCCAAAGAAUAAGCACCGGCUAACUUCGUGCCAGCAGCCGCCGUAA